CAGUAGGGUGCCAUCAAGAGGUGUAUUUGGAAAUAUCCCUAAUACAGGAUCA
rnacentral:rRNA from 1 species